rnacentral:rRNA from 1 species
AUACGGAGGGUGCAAGCGUUAAUCGGAAUUACUGGGCGUAAAGCGCACGCAGGCGGUCAAUUAAGUCAGAUGUGAAAGCCCCGAGCUUAACUUGGGAAUUGCAUCUGAAACUGGUUGGCUAGAGUCUUGUAGAGGGGGGUAGAAUUCCACGUGUAGCGGUGAAAUGCGUAGAGAUGUGGAGGAAUACCGGUGGCGAAGGCGGCCCCCUGGACAAAGACUGACGCUCAGGUGCGAAAGCGUGGGGAGCAAACAGGAUUAGAUACCCUGGUAGUCCACGCUGUAAACGAUGUCGAUUUAGAGGUUGUGGUCUUGAACUGUGGCUUCUGGAGCUAACGCGUUAAAUCGACCGCCUGGGGAGUACGGCCGCAAGGUUGAAACUUAAAGGAAUUGACGGGG